rnacentral:RNase_P_RNA from 1 species
CCAGGCGGCCGGGCGACCGCGGCUCCCGAAAGGGGGGCGAGGAAAGUCCGGGCUCCACGAAAAAACGGUGCCGGGUAACGCCCGGCGGACUCUUGCCCAGGGGAACUUGGGUCAGGGUUCAGGGACAGUGCCACAGAAAACAGACCGCCUGCUUUCGGGCGGGUAAGGGCGAAACGGUGCGGCAAGAGCGCACCGCGGCUUCGGUAACGCGGCCGGCACGGCAAACCCCACCGGGUGCAAGACCGAAUAGGGGUGACGCAUGAGCUUUUUCGGCUCGUCACCCGGGUUGGUCGCUUGAGCGGCGGGGUAAUCCGCCGCCUAGAGGAAUGGUCGCCCAGGUGCCGCAAGGUGCUGGACAGAACCCGGCUUACAGGCCGCCUGGUGUU